UAACCUGGUCAGCUUUUAUCUGCCAUUUUACCCAGUAGUCACUGAACUGAGCUGGCUGAUCCAUUUAUUGGCGAGACCCAGCCAAACUAAAACGUAGUCCUGGGUUCUUCACUCGUUCGUGAUUAAAAACUAUUGGCGCGGCCAAAUAAAAGUUACUUUAAGUGUCUGCAACGUUCGCCCACUUAAACUCCGACCCAGCAGCACAAUGGUCCCCAUAAAAACGAUCGAAUGACUGGAGAAGGGAAGGGGCGGUUGCACGCAUUCAGCUGCGAAUUGUGGACAAGUCGGUAACGAAAGAGUUAAUUCUAUCUUUUGAUUAGCUCACUAACAAUAACUUUAUGCCAUGCAUCCAAUGACUGGCGCUGUGUAUUCAAAGUCGGCUGAUUUGUUUAAUAAAUGUGCCGAGCGUGUAUCUGCGUGUGUCUUUUUUUUUCCAAAGAAGUGUUUGGCUACUCGUAUUUUUUAAUGCAUCUAAUAAUUAUUUUAGCAUUCAGAGCAGCGUCGAACCGUUUCACUUGUGACUCCUUUUAUUCGCAGAAACCCCUAUGGGUGCCUCCGAGCAAAGCAAGUCAACGAUCUAUCACGCAGCCGAUUCAAUAGCAGGCUGAGCUAACCUUGACCUCUACCUAGACCUCGCUCCAUCUGGUGCCAGGGUGUUUUUCAUAAUGUUGAUGCCUUGCAGUCAAAAUUGAUCAACGCGGAAUCGACCGCCUGACCUCCUCAAGGAGCGUUGCGAGAUACGAUACGCUUUAUUGAAAAGGUCCGUUGCUGUACCCAUUGAAAAUAAAGGCGAACUUGGCAGUG